rnacentral:rRNA from 1 species
UACGUAGGGCGCGAGCGUUGUCCGGAAUUAUUGGGCGUAAAGAGCUCGUAGGCGGCCUGUUGCGUCCGCUGUGAAAUCCCGGGGCUCAACCCUGGGCGUGCAGUGGAUACGGGCAGGCUGGAGGCAGGCAGGGGAGAACGGAAUUCUUGGUGUAGCGGUGAAAUGCGUAGAUAUCAAGAGGAACACCCGUGGCGAAGGCAGCUUCCUGGGGCCAUCCUGACACUGAGACGCGAAAGCGUGGGGGAGCAAACAGG